rnacentral:tRNA from 1 species
UCCCUGGUGGUUCAAAUGGUAAAGAAUCUGUCUGUAAUGCAGAAGACCCAGGUUCAAUCCCUGGGGGAA